rnacentral:rRNA from 1 species
UGGGGAAUCUUGCGCAAUGCGCGAAAGCGUGACGCAGCAACGCCGCGUGGGGGAAGAAGGCCUUCGGGUUGUAAACCCCUUUCAGGAGGGACGAAGGUCGGGCGGUGAAUAGCCGACCCGACUGACGGUACCUCCAGAAGAAGCCCCGGCUAACUACGUGCCAGCAGCCGCGGUAAUACGUAGGGGGCAAGCGUUGUCCGGAUUUAUUGGGCGUAAAGAGCGUGUAGGCGGCCAGACAGGUCCGUCGUGAAAACUCGAGGCUCAACCUCGAGAUUUCGAUGGAAACCGUCUGGCUAGAGUCCGGAAGAGGAGUGUGGAAUUCCUGGUGUAGCGGUGAAAUGCGCAGAUAUCAGGAAGAACACCUAUGGCGAAGGCAGCACUCUGGGACGGUACUGACGCUGAGACGCGAAAGCGUGGGGAGCGAACAGG